AUGGACAUGACGAUUAUUUCCCCACACGAUCGAAGUUGAUUAUACUGUGCUAUUAGAAAUUCUUGUUUUGGAGAAUUCAAGCCAGAAAUCUGACCCAU
rnacentral:snoRNA from 1 species